UACGGGGGGGGCAAGCGUUGUUCGGAAUUACUGGGCGUAAAGGGCUCGUAGGCGGCCAACUAAGUCGGACGUGAAAUCCCCAGGCUCAACCUGGGAACUGCGUCCGAUACUGGAUGGCUUGAAUCCGGGAGAGGGAUGCAGAAUUCCAGGUGUAGCGGUGAAAUGCGUAGAUAUCUGGAGGAACACCGGUGGCGAAGGCGGGUCUCUGGGCAGUAACUGACGCUGAGGAGCGAAAGCGUGGGGGAGCGAACAGG
rnacentral:rRNA from 1 species